rnacentral:rRNA from 1 species
AUUGAACGCUGGCGGCAUGCCUUACACAUGCAAGUCGAACGGUAACAGGCCGCAAGGUGCUGACGAGUGGCGAACGGGUGAGUAAUGCAUCGGAACGUGCCCAGUAGUGGGGGAUAGCCCGGCGAAAGCCGGAUUAAUACCGCAUACGACCUGAGGGUGAAAGGGGGGGAUCGCAAGACCUCUCGCUAUUGGAGCGGCCGAUGUCAGAUUAGCUAGUUGGUGGGGUAAAGGCCUACCAAGGCAACGAUCUGUAGUUGGUCUGAGAGGACGACCAGCCACACUGGGACUGGGACCCGGCCCAGACUCCUACGGGGGGCGGCAGUGGGGAAUAUUGCGCAAUGGGCGAAAGCCUGACGUAGCAACGCCGCGUGAGUGAUGAAGGCCUUCGGGUUGUAAAGCUCUUUCGGCUGGGAAGAAGGGAAUUAGGGCUAAUAGCCUUAGUUCUUGAUGGUACCAGAAGAAGAAGCACCGGCUAACUUCGUGCCAGCAGCCGCCGUAAAAC